rnacentral:rRNA from 1 species
GGCGAACGGGUGAGUAACACGUGAGCAAUCUGCCCUUGACUCUGGGAUAAGCGUUGGAAACGACGUCUAAUACCGGAUACGACCCUCGGAGGCAUCUCCUGGGGGUGGAAAGAAUUUUGGUCAAGGAUGAGCUCGCGGCCUAUCAGCUUGUUGGUGAGGUAAUGGCUCACCAAGGCGACGACGGGUAGCCGGCCUGAGAGGGUGACCGGCCACACUGGGACUGAGACACGGCCCAGACUCCUACGGGAGGCAGCAGUGGGGAAUAUUGCACAAUGGGCGCAAGCCUGAUGCAGCAACGCCGCGUGAGGGACGACGGCCUUCGGGUUGUAAACCUCUUUUAGUAGGGAAGAAGCGAAAGUGACGGUACCUGCAGAAAAAGCACCGGCUAACUACGUGCCAGCCGCCGCGG